CUGAACCAGCAACUUGGAGGAAUGUAUAUUGACUACGUCAAAUAAAGUUCUAGUGGAAUAAUGAUAAUGACAAUUUUCUAUUAUAUGUCUUGACCAAAUCACGUGCCAGCAGUCGCGGUAAUACGUGGAAGACAAGUGUUAUUCAUCUUUAAUAGGUUUAAAGGGUACCUAGACGGUAUUUUUAGCCCAAAACAGGGAACAAAUUUACUAGAGUUUAGAUGUAAGGAGGGGAGUAUUUUUAGUGUAGAGAUAAAAUUCUGUCAUACUUAAAGGACUGUCAAUGGCGCAAGCAACCUUCUAUGUAAAAACUGACGUUGAGGGACGAAAGGCUUGGGUAGCAAUAAGGAUUAGAUACCCUAGUAGUCCAAGCAGAGAAAUUAUGAAUGCCACACGCUAGACUUAUUUAGUGUGUAAAUAAAAGUGUAAGCAUUCCACCUCAAGAGUAAUGUGGCAACGCAGGAACUGAAAUCAUCAGGCCGUUUCUGAAACACAGUAGUGAAGUAUGUUAUUUAAUUCGAUGAUCCGCGAAAAACCUUACCACAAUUUGAAUAGUUACAAGCGCUGCACGGCUGUCUCCAGUUAAUGUCGUGAGAUUUUGGCUAUGCCUAAAAAUUGAACGUAAACCCUUACUUUAUUUAACUUUUUUUAAUAUAAGUACUUGACCGCUAUAUUGGUUAUUAUAAAAGGGACUAAGACAAAGUCAUCAUGGCCUUAAUAUUGUGGGCUAUAGACGUGCCGCAUAUGCCUAUACAAAAGAGAAGC
rnacentral:rRNA from 1 species